UCCGGGUGCAGUGACACGUACCUGUAGUCCCAGCUGCUCAGGAGGCUGAGGUAGGAGGAUUGCUUGAGCCCAGCAGUUCUGGACUGCAGUGCGCUAUGCCGAUUGGGUGUCAGCACUAAGUUGGGUAUCAAUAUGGUGACUUCCCGGGAGCGGAGGACCACCAGGUUGCCUAAGGAGGGGUGAACUGGCCCAGAUUGGAAAUGGGGCAGGUCGAAACUCCCGUGUAGUGGGAUCGCGCCUGUGAAUAGCCACUGCACUCCAGCCUGGGCAACAUAGCGAGACCCCCGUCUCU
ensembl:misc_RNA Metazoa_SRP Metazoan signal recognition particle RNA